CCUACGGGCGGCAGCAGUGAGGAAUAUUGGUCAAUGGACGAGAGUCUGAACCAGCCAAGUAGCGUGAAGGAUGACUGCCCUAUGGGUUGUAAACUUCUUUUAUAUGGGAAUAAAAUGUUCCACGUGUGGGAUUUUGUAUGUACCAUAUGAAUAAGGAUCGGCUAACUCCGUGCCAGCAGCCGCGGUAAUACGGAGGAUCCGAGCGUUAUCCGGAUUUAUUGGGUUUAAAGGGAGCGUAGGUGGAUUGUUAAGUCAGUUGUGAAAGUUUGCGGCUCAACCGUAAAAUUGCAGUUGAAACUGGCAGUCUUGAGUACAGUAGAGGUGGGCGGAAUUCGUGGUGUAGCGGUGAAAUGCUUAGAUAUCACGAAGAACUCCGAUUGCGAAGGCAGUUCACUGGACUGCAACUGACACUGAGGCUCGAAAGUGUGGGUAUCAAACAGGAGUAGAUACCCCUGUAGUC
rnacentral:rRNA from 1 species